rnacentral:rRNA from 1 species
UACGGGGGGAGCAAGCGUUGUUCGGAUUUACUGGGCGUAAAGGGCGCGUAGGCGGCCACCGCAAGUCGACUGUGAAAUCUCCGGGCUUAACCCGGAAAGGUCAGCCGAUACUGCGGGGCUAGAGUGCAGAAGGGGCAACUGGAAUUCUCGGUGUAGCGGUGAAAUGCGUAGAUAUCGAGAGGAACACCUGCGGCGAAGGCGGGUUGCUGGGACGGUACUGACGCUGAGACGCGAAAGCGUGGGGAGCGAACAGG